ACACUACCCCAGGUUGCGAAGGAUGUCUGCACUUUCUUGACUUGGGCUGCUAGCCCUGAACACGAUAUGAGGAAGAAGAUGGCCAUCAAGGCCAUGAUGAUGUUCUCCUUGUUGAUCGGUGGAUCCUACUAUCUCAAGAGGCACAAGUGGUCUGUUGUCAAGUCCAGGAAGAUCGUCUUCACUCCUAAGACUAUUUCUAGUUAAAGGAUAUUCUAGGAUUCCAGCAACCUGAGGCUUACCAUCAACACCUGGUUUAGAAAUCAAUUAAUCGAUCAUAGUAAAUAAAUACUUUACUAUUGUGAUUGAUCAUUACACUAAAAUAAACUGACUAAAUGUUUUUAGUGACAACUAUUUAACGGUAAUAAAUCCAUUUUUAUUAAA